rnacentral:lncRNA from 1 species
AAUCUUCUGCCAUUUUAGCAUGUUUUGAGAAUUGUUGCCGAUGUAAACUGCCCAUGUAUCGUCAAGAUCGCGUCCUAAAGGCAGCAAAAGUUCAAAAAGUUCAGAUAUCUGUGAGUUACUCAAAUUCAAACGUGAGUAUCAGACAUCGAGAUAUAUUGUCACAUACAUAUAUUUCCAUGUAUUUAGAGGAUUAUAUCCAAUAAAAGUAUCAUAGAGGCUCCUAUACUAAGAAUUAAAUUACAUUUUACUCUCUCGACUCAAAAAAUGGGUAAAAUAAUCUUUUUUACAUUAAAUCAAAGUGCAAAUUAAUCAUUUUUAUUAAAAAUUUCAUCCAUUUGUAUUGUUAAAAACUGGCAUGGUUAACCGAUGCCAAAUUACAUUGAUUUUUCACUAAAAUACUCAUGCUCUAUAUUUAUGUUUCAUGCAUAUUCUACCAUAAGGCCCUUGUACUAAAAGUCAAAUUACAUUUUACCCUUUUAACUCAAAAAAAUAAAGAAAUUAAUCAUUGUAUAUUAGAUUAAAGAGCAAAUUGAUUCUUUUCAUUAAAAAUUGACUUAAUGACAAAUUUGGCUACUAAUGUUUACAUGUUUUGUCAAAAUGACCCUAAUUAUAUUUUUAAACUUUUUUUGGCCAUCAACCUUUUUUUUUUUUCAAAUUGCUUUUUUUAACAAAUUUGAUGAAAGUACCGUUAAAAAAGUUAACAACCUUAAUUAUGUUUACUUUCUUUAAAUUAAGAGUUUUUUUUAAUUUCAUGUAUGAUUUAUUUAUUUUAUUAUUUUUCACAUGUAAUUUUUUUAUUGAAUUAUCUAAGUAAUAAAUUAUAUCUCAUUAAAAAUAUUUUACAUCAUCCUCGUUAAUUUUUUUAAUGGUACUUUCAUCAAAUCUGUUAAAAAAACAGUUAAAAAAAAACAAAAGUUUAUAGCCAAAAAUGGCUAAAAAAUACAAUUAGGGCCAUUUUAAUAAAACAUGUAAACGUUAGUGGCCAUUUUUGUCAUUUAGCCUUAAAAUUUUCAUCCAUUUCAACUAAUAAAAACAUAUGUAUCUCACAGAAUAACUUGACAAUUACACAUGAUGUGCCACAUGUAUCUCAUUCUAGUGUGCAGGACCAUUAUUUAAUAGUAGAAACAAAUGAAAAUUUUAAUGGAAAGACAAAUUUACUCUUUAAUCUAACAUAUAGGAACUAAUUUGCCCAUUUUUUUUAGUAGAGGGGGAAAAUAUGGUCUGAGCACAAGGGCCUCUGUGAUACUUUUACCAACAUAUUCGGACAAGGAAACAAAUAUAACUCUCAAAUAUACAAAAAAAAAACUUCUAAAAGAAAUUGAACAUACUUGUAUUGAAUAUAUACUCAUAUCUGACAUUCACCUUAAAGUUUUAGACCUAACAAUGCUAGUAGGGACAAAGCUAAAAAAUCGCUUUAGAAGCAAAAGAUGAAUCAUAGAUUUUAAAGGGUUAAAAUGUAAUUUUAACAUUAUGUUAACUUUUAAUUUCAUAAAUUUUAAAGAAAUUAAAACACAUAAUUACCAUUUUUGAGAAACCAAAGCCACGGCUUGCACCAUAGAAUGCUAGACAUGACAUGAUUAUACAACACCACAAAAAUGAGUAAAACAUGAUAGGAAACAUGACACAACACAAAAAAAGUAACAUGAAUGCAAUAUAACUAUAUAAGUACACCUAUAACUAUAUAACACAAUUCAUUAACUUAUCCAAAGUUCUAUAAAUAUAAAAUACCUUAAGCACAAUACGAGAAGAUACACAAAUACGAAAAGAAUACAUGUAUAUCCAAAUAAAUCCAAUCCACUGUUAACUUAUCAAAAGUUCUAUAAAUAUAAAAUAUCGUAAGUACGAAUAUUAUACGAAAAAUAUACAAAUACAAAAAGAAUACAUAUAUAAACCAAGUAAAUCCAAUCGACUGUUAACUUAUCAAAAGUUGUAAAACAUAGAAUACCUUAAGCGCAAUUACAACACGAGAAGAUGCACAAAUACGAAAAAGAAUACAUGAUAAGUUCUAUAAAUAUAAAUACGAGAAGAUACACAAACACAAAAAGAAUACACAUAUAACCAAACAAAUCCAAUCCACUGUUAACUUAUCAUUAGUUCUAUAUAAAUAUAAAAUACUUUUAAGCACGAUUAUAAUACGAGAAGAUUAAAAGAAUACAUGUAUAACCAAAAUAAAUCGUCUACUGGUAGUGGUUUCACUAAAUUCAAGACUAUAAGAGAAAAGCCAUUCUAGGAAACAUGCACCAAAAACAAAGCAAAAUCAUAUAUUAAGCUUUUGAGCCAACUACGCAUAGUAAAUUAUAUUUAUAUUAUUCGGUUUUAUUUUUGGGAUAAAUAUCAAAAUUAUAUAUGAACUUUUAUUUAAUGUUCAAUGCCAUGAAGUUUGAUUUUGGCGAUUUUAUAAAUGAAUUUUUAAUUUGAUUCAAUUUUUAGAAAUCACUAACAACAUUAUCGAAUUAAUACCAUUUUACGUUAAUAUAUUAUAUAAAAAAACAAUUGUAUUAAUUCGACAUAAAAAUAAUUAUAUAAAUUUAUUUAUUUAAAUAUAUACAAGUAAAUCAAAAUCAAAAUUCUUACAUCAAAUUAUACAUUUAACCAAAAUUCAUAUAUAAAAUUAAUAUAAAAAAUAAACACACAAUGAUAUUUCAACAUAAAACAUUAUGGAUUUUAGUAUCUUUAUUUCCACCAAAGUUUCAUUUGUCUUUUACAUUAAUUUUUUAUAAAAAUAUUUAUUACAUAAUUUAGAUUUUCCUCUGCAUCCUGACUAUUCAAUAAUCUAAUAUAUAUAUAAAACCUUGAAUAUUAUAAAGUAGAAUUAUUACUUUUUUCUUGAAGUGUUUGAAUUCAAUAUCUGUAUUUUUCAUAUCAUGAAUAUGAUUCUCUAAAUAUCCUACUAAAGUCAAGCAUAUGAUGCUACUGGUACUGAUUUUACUAAAUUCAAAAGAAACAAUAACAGCUAUGCCAUUCCAUGAAACAUGCAUCAAAAUCAAAGAUUAAAAAAUAAAAGAUAUACUUCGAUUUUUCAUUUUACUUUGGAAUAUUUUAGCUCAUCCAUGGGGUAUAAGUUUUCAAAAUUCUUAAUAAAAAAAAAGGAAAUUAAAGUGACUGACCUCCUUCAUAGCCGCCACCGAACAAAACCAAGCAACCGGAGACAAAAUUGAGAGAGUGAGAAGCUCGAGGAACUGGCAAAACCAAAUCGGGAUCUGGCUCAGCGAGUUUGUAACAACAAACCGAGUCAACUCGAGAGACUUGUUUGUAAAGCCUAAUC